AACGCUGGCGGCGUGCCUCAGACAUGCAAGUCGAACGAUUAAACUUUCCUUCGGGAAAGAUAUAAAGUGGCGCACGGGUGAGUAACACGUAGGUAAUGUGCCUUUGGGUGGGGAAUAACUUAGGGAACUUAAGCUAAUACCGCAUAAUGCAGCGGCUCCUUCGGGAGACAGUUGUUAAAGAUUUAUCGCCUAAAGAGCAGCCUGCGGCAGAUUAGCUAGUUGGUAAGGUAACGGCUUACCAAGGCGGCGAUCUGUAUCCGACCUGAGAGGGUGGUCGGACACACUGACACUGAAUAACGGGUCAGACUCCUACGGGAGGCAGCAGUC
rnacentral:rRNA from 1 species